rnacentral:tRNA from 2 species
GGAGGGGUGCCCGAGUGGUUGAAGGGGACCGUCUCGAAAACGGUUUGGCGUGUUGAGCGUCACGUGGGUUCGAAUCCCACCCUCUCCG